rnacentral:rRNA from 1 species
GAUGAACGCUGGCGGCGUGCCUAACACAUGCAAGUCGAACGCUGGCGUAAAGCCAACCCCCUUCGGGGGCGAGGCUUUACUGCCGGAGUGGCGGACGGGUGAGUAACGCGUGGGUAAUCUGCCCUUUGCAGGGGAAUAACUGUGAGAAAUUACAGCUAAUACCGCAUAAGCCUACGGUAUCGCAUGGUACAGUGGGAAAAGAUUUAUCGGCAAAGGAGGAGCCCGCGUCUGAUUAGCUGGUUGGUGGGGUAACGGCCCACCAAGGCGACGAUCAGUAGCCGGCCUGAGAGGGUGAACGGCCACAUUGGGACUGAGACACGGCCCAAACUCCUACGGGAGGCAGCAGUGGGGAAUAUUGCACAAUGGGGGGAACCCUGAUGCAGCAACGCCGCGUGAAGGAAGAAGGGUUUCGGCUCGUAAACUUCUAUCGACAGGGAAGAAGAAAGUGACGGUACCUGAAUAAGAAGCCCCGGCUAACUACGUGCCAGCCGCC